GCCCUUUCUCUGCACCUUGCCUUACUGCGUUUAUCACCUUGCAUUGAAAUUUUCUGUUUAAGGCUUGGCCGCCUUCUGUAGUCUAUGAGCUUUUCAAGAACAGGGCACACAUUGUUAGCAUGGAAUUUCCAGUGACUAAUGCUAAGCUAGAACAUAUUUGUGGUGGUGAAUUUUAUGUGUCAACUUAACUGGACCACAGGAUGCCCAGACUUUUAGCCAAACAUUAUCCUGUGUGUGUCUGGGAGACUGUUUCUGGAUGACAUGGACGUUUGAAUCCAUAGACUGAGUAAAGCAGAUUGCCCUCCCGAAUGGAGGUAGGCCUCAUCUAGUGAGGUGAAGACGUGACUACAAUGAAAAGGCUGAGUAAGAGGGAAUGCGUCCUACCUGACUUGUUUGAGUUGGGACCAUGGUCUUUCUCAGCCUUCAGACUCGGACUGAAACAGCAGCUCUUCUUGGAUCUCCAGCCUGCCGACUUUCAGCUUGGAACUUAUGCCAUCAGCUCUCAUGGUUCUCAGACCUUCAGACUUGAACUAGAACUACAAACCAGUUUUCCUGGGUCUCCAACUUGUGGACUGCACAUCUUGGGACUUCUCAGCCUCCCUAAUUGUAGCAGAGAAUGUUGAAUAUACGUUGAAGAUGCAUUUGAAAGAGAAGCUAAUACAUGGAGCAAGAACUGAAAGCAGAAAGAAGAUGGAUCAAGAGGACAGAUGGGGAAUCAAUAAAAAUAUGAAUGGAGAAGUGUCAUCUUCUAUGGGCAUCGGUAGCUUUCCCCACCAAAACCAGGACCCAGGGCUCCAACAUACGACACAUAAGACUUUGCCCUGAACUGGGAGGCAGAAAAUCUAGGAUCUAGCUCUGGUCCUGUCUGCAGAAAGCGAGAAGGAGCUGACAAAAUGAAUGCCCACUAUUCUCCAGAGUUCUCCUGCCAACCAGAGACCAAGAAUCUUCCCCAUUGAUAUCGAAGCGGAGAAGAACAACUGCCAUGAGAGAAUGACAAACUGCAGCCAGGACUGCGUAUGGACAGCGAGCUGGUUCUCACAGAAGCUUUCAGCCUGCUGGUUACACAGGCUCGUUGCUAUUUUGAUCUUUUCAUUAACUUCACAGUAAUACAAUUCCACAUUUCAAACAACUGAAUUUUGAUAUCUCACUUGCUUUAUGGUAGAGUUUUGCUGUGGUGCGUUAUGGUUUCCUUUUUGUUUUUUUAAAACAUUUCAACGAUGAAAGAUGGGGAAUUCAUUCUGAUGUAAAGUCUGAAGUCUGAAUGAAUUUGGUCUUUUUCAGAUAGACAGCAAACGCUCCCACUGUGAUUUAUACUUAGGAGAUAAUGUUUCCCCACUGGUACAAAAUGCCACCUUUAUCACAUGCUAUAUUCUGUAUGUUAUAUAUAUAUAUAUCUCAUAUAUGAGAUGGAUUUUUUUUCUAGACUUGCUAUUCUGUCCAUGAUAUGUCUAGUCAACUGACUAUCACAUUGUUUUAGCUCUUGUAGUUUUAUAAUAUACCAAUAUCUUGUAAAAUUAUUACCCCACCAGCACCAUUAAUUCUACUUUUCCCCCUAUUAUUUUCUGGCUUUUCUUCCAUAUUUUUCAGUGAACUUGAGGGUCAUCUUGUUUAAUUUAAAAUACUAUUUUUAUUUGAAUAAUAUUAAAUUUAUGGAUUAUACCUUGGUGAAAAGCAGCAUAUUCAAUGCUGAGUUUUAUUAUCUAAAUACGCAAUAUGUUUUCUAUUUGUUAAUGUCUUUUUUGGGCCCCCCAAAAUUGAUUUAAAAUUUUCUUCAUAUUGAUCUUGUACCUAUCAUAGAAAGUUUAUUCCUAGGUAUUUAAUUUUUUUGAUGGCAUUGAAAUAGAGUCUUUCACAAAUGUGUUUUCUAACUGGUGGUUGCCUGAAUGACAACUAUUAAUUUUGUUCCAGAAAACUUACUAAAUUUCCUUAUUGUUUUUAAAGUUUGGAGUUGUUUUUUUUUAGUAAUUCUCUUGUUCUGUCCAAAUAGACUAUCAAAUUAUGUACAAAUAUUGAUAAAUUUAUCUCUUCCUUGCCAAUAUUUAUAACUCUAACUUCUUCCUUUGUCUAAUAGUUUGACUAGGACAUCCAGUUCAAUAUUAAAUAAUAGCAAUUGCAGACAUUUCCAAGUUUAAUGCAACUUGUCUAGUGUUUCAACCUUAAGCCUAAUCCUGCCAUUGGUGUUGAAGCAGAUACAUUUUGUCAGAAAAGCAUGCAUCUAUCUCUAUUUUAAGAAUUUUUAUCAAAAAAGGAGUUGGCAUUUUAUAAAAUAUUUUUUCAUAUUCUUGUUUGCUAACUCUUCUAGAAUCAGAUUCGGUGGAUUAUAUUUUCCCAAAAAAUUAUUCCUUUAAUCUAGAUUUUCGCAUAUUUUGUGUGCGAAAUGGGGAAUGGAAGAAAGUAAUCUCAUAAAAUUCCUUUCACUUCCUUUUCAUUUGUGAUUAUUUCUUACAUAUUUUUUUGUUCGGAGUAUAUGUGUUUUUCCCUCUUCUUGAUUGAAUUAGAUACAAGUGUAUCUCUUAUUUUUUCCAAAGAACUAGCAAAUCAAUUUAUUUAUCAGUUCUACCAUUUUCUGUUAAUCAGAAAUCCACCCUUCUUCUCCCAUUUUUUUUACAUUAUCUUCUUCCCUAUUUUUCCCAUGGGUUUAAUUUAUUGCAUUCCUCGGCCUGUCAUGUCUUCCUUUCUUUGUCCCUGAUGAAAGUCUACUCAUACUUCUGUAGCUCAGCUCAGAUAAUACUUUCUCUGACCCCUUCAUCAGAAGCAGUCUUCCCUCAUCUCUGCUUCCACGGGUUCUGUACACACUUAAUUUGUGGUAUCUUUUAUACUUUAUCUUAAUUUUCUCUAUAGCUUCUCUAACUACACUGCUUGUAAUAUAAUGUCACUCAAGUAAUGUUCAAUAAUGAAGCAAUAAUAUAGUGAUCUCAAUGGGUACAUACAAUGCUUACUUUUCUUAUCUAUCUUCUUAUCUACAUCUAGAAUACUUAUUUAUAGAGCUUAAAAUUCAGCGAAAUGCAUUAGAACAAUAGACAGUGAAGAUAGUUAUUCACAGAGAAGUUCUCUACACUAUGGAUCAGUUAUGUCCUAAUUUAUCUUUCUACUUUUGACAAAAUGGAACUGAAUUUGUUUUAUUUUAAAAAGAAAGAUGUCAAACCAUGGACCUCCUUUUCAACGUGGGUUGAAUUUUAUCAGACUUUUUUUCAACAAACGAAGUUUUCAUAAUCAUGGACUUUCUUUAGACUAAUUUUCUUUAAAGAUUUAUAUAUAUAUAUAUAUAAAGUCAUUUGGCCAUUGAUCAAAAAAAAUGCCCCCACACAUCAUAUAAUUUUAGAUGUAUCAUAGAAAUUUCUCUAUCCCUAGGAUACCUUUUUCAUUAGGCUCAUUGAAGCCCGAAAAUCCAGUUUGAGAUACAUUCUUUUGACUAAAGAUUACUUUUAUCUCUCAAAAUGGAAAGCUUUUCGAAAAUAAUGUACAUUAUCAAAUAAUCAAAAAAUUCAUAUUCAUCUACUUUAUACAAAUGCUUUGAAGUUUAAAUUUAUUGCGUCAUUUCCAUGGAGUCUCCAGUUAUGUUGGUCUUAAGAAAGGAAAAUGAAACAGCAUAUUGUGUGUAAGGGAUUGAGGAAAGGAAGGCUGAGGACAUGAAAGUUUCCUUACCCUAUGUAUUUGUUCAUAGCUAUCAUCUUUUUUAGCCCAGUGGACCAAGCGCUGUAUUAAUGUAAGGUCCAGAGUAUGUUGUUUAACCUUCAAAAACCAGAUGGCAUCUAUUUAUACAAAUUAACAAAUAUUUAUUAAAUGCCUACUGUGUGCUUGCCACUUUUCUAGGUGCUUGGGGUACAGCAGUGAACCAAACAACAACAAAUCCCUGUCCCACUGGAUUUCACAUUCUACUAGGAAAAGUCAAAUAAUAAACAUUGAUCAUAAGAAGUAAACAAAUUACAUAUUUUUUCAGAGAGUGAUGAGUGCUACGGAAAAAUAGAGCAGCUUAAGGGGAGGAUCAAGGGUGCUAGAGGUGGGAGAGGUGACAAUUUUAAAUGAGAUGGUCAAGGGAAGCCUCACUGAAUUUAUAAUAUAAGAAACCUCAAAAGUUUCAGGGUAAGGGAAGUUGACCAAAGAACAUCUAGAGAAAACAGUGUUCUUCAUGGAAGGAACCGCCAGUGCAAAGGCACUAAGACGAGGACAUGCUUGGCAUGUUCAAGUAGCAGAGGGAAGCUAGUGUGGUUGGAAUGAGAGAGCAGAGUGGGGCAUAGAGAACAGAGAGGGGUCAGAGAGAUACUGGGGUGAGGAGUGGAGGAGGUGGCCUUGUAGGAAUUGGCUUUUACUCUGAGUGAGAUAUGAAACUAUUGGAAGGCUUUAAAUGGAAGACUGACAUGAUCUGAUUUACGGAUUACUCUGACUCUGUAUUAAGAAUAAACUAUAGUGAGCCAAGAGGAGAUGCAGGGAAACUGGUUAGACAACUAUUGCGAUCAUCUAGGUAAAGAUGAUGGUUUGAGACUGAGGUAGACCACAGGAAGUGGUAAGAAAUGAUCAGGCAUAUUUUGGAGGUAGAAUUGGCUGGUGGAUUAGAUGUGGGGUAUGAGAAAAAGAGCAGGAAAAAGGUUGACUGCAAAAAUUUGGGCCUGGAAUCAUCAUCAAAUGAUGGGGGGAAGACUGCAGGUAGAGGACCUUGCAGGGAGUGGACCAGAAGUUCCAUUUUGGACAUGUUAAGUUUGAUAUCUCCAUCAGUCAUCCAAAAAGGAGGUUUUCAGUAGACAAUUUGGUAGUCAAGUCUGAAGUUCAGAAGAGAGGUCUGGGCUAAAGAUACAAAUUUGGGAGUUUAUGGUGUAUACGUAGAAUUUAAAUUCACAAGACAGGUCGAAAUUUCCAGGAGAGGGAAUGUAUAUGGACAAGAAGAAAAAAAACUAAACUCUAUGGCUCUUCAACAUCGAGAGUUUGAGGAGAAGAGGAGAAACCAGUAAGAGGAAACCAAGGAGCAGCACCCAGUGGGGUGAGAGGAAAACCCGGAGUGUGGUGUCCUUGAAAACAGAAGAAAAAAUCAUGUCUGGAAAGAAGGAGAUCUUGACCCUCCCAAAUGCAGCUGACAUGUUAAGUAAGAUGAGUCCUAAGUUUUGACCAUACACGGAUUUAGCAGCAUGAAUGUUAUUGGUGACCACAGAGAGAAUAGAUGCCUUGAUGGGGGUAACAUCUUGAUUGGAGGGACUUUAGGAGGUAGAGAGAGACAGUGAGCAUAGGCAAUUAUUUCAAAGAAGUAGAUACAAUUAUUAAGACUGUUUUACAAAGACCCAAAGAGGGUUUUUACUUGCCUAAGUUCAUAAUAUUAACAAGUAGAGCUGGGACCUGAAAUCAGGUUUGCUUGAAUCCAGAAUCUGCUCUCUUCACCACCAUCCUAUACUGUCUGAGAUCUGCCCUGGUCACAGACAUAAUAAUUCAGUGAAGGAAGAAACAGACUAGAAGCGGCCAUUUAGCUCUUGUCUUCUGUGUUUUCCCACCAAGAUUUCAAACCAGUAUUCCUACAACCUUCCACGGCAUAAAUUCCCUUCUCACUUUCUAGUGCCAUUCUCUGUGUCACCUUUUUAUCACCUCACUUGUGUAACCAUUUAUUCUCACUCAUCCAAUUCCUUCCUCUUUAAGAACAAAUUAUCUUGUUUUCUUCUAUGUCCAAUUAGCAUAUUCAGUGUUUCCAGAUCUCUAAAUUCAUGCUUUAUUUGUCACUUAUCUAGAAAUAAAAGUCCUUCAGUCCAUUUCCUCUACCCAGUAGACUCUGUCUGCUAAGAUCUAAAAUAAAUCCACCACUGAACCUGGCUAAGAGGUUAAGAUACCUCAUAGAGUCGGAAAAUAGAACAAAGAAUAGAAAAUAGAGUGAAGAAACUUUGUGUGUCUGUAUAUGGUUGGGGGUGGGGGAAGUGACAGGUAAGCAACAAACCAGGCUGAAAAUAGGACUCCAGAGUAAGUUAGAUUUCUAGCAACAUCUCCAGCAGUGUUGGCAGAAAGUGGAUCCAAGAGUGGAUAAAAGCAUAUGGUCCAUAGCAUGACAAAGAGAGGAAUCAAAAAAAUCAUGUUUCACGAAAAAAGACUAUCAGGACACACAAAGUGAGGACAAGGAAUGAGUCUGGUAACCACCGACUUGGGCCAAUCAGAUAGCAAAUAACAUUGCGAGAAUGAGCCCUUGAGCACAUAUGACUUGGCAUGAAGUGUCUUGCUUUUGCUUCUCUUCACAUGGCAUAUCUUCAAGUGGCUAUGGCUUAUUUGUUCCAUAAAGUACUACCAAAAACUCCUCCUCAAACUGGAAAUUCAUAGUCAUAGUAACAAGCUCAAUAUAAACAGAGCCUCUGUUUUACAAUGCACUCUGUUCUGGGUCACUUGAAACACUGAUUUCUUCACGGAUGCUAUCAUCCUCUCCUGACACGAUAGCUCUAGUCAUAAUAUGCGCCUUUGCAACAUGCAGAUGUGUCCAUGACGCAUAUAUGCCUUUUUCAGGCCUGAUUCUGCGUACACAGAGCUCUUCCGUGUGUGUUGCCCACCGUCUCAAUGAGAGCCCAUGACUCACGAUCUGUGGCUUUGAGUCAUGCUCUGAAGUGAUGUGAAUUAGUCUUAAUUUGGUGCUUUUCAGUUAUCAGUAUAAGCCCUGCCUGCUGAGAGCUUUGUUUUGUUUUCCUUCCUAGCACUUGGAACUCCCUUAAUUGGUAGUUGAUAACUUCCACAGUGUGUAUUUUACAUGGAGGAGUGAAAGUUGGCCCAAUUAUAAGCAAAAAGAACAAAACAAAUUUGCACCGAAUAGAAAGUGUAUUGUGAAAGAACUAACGGCUGGGAAAAGCAGAGAUUUUGUAGAUAAAAAGCUGCUUUUUGCUUCAUUGUAAAGCAAGUGACUUCACCCUCUAAUCGCAGAUCACAAAUGAAGGUGACAACCCUGGAGAACUUGACAGAUAAGGGAGGGAGAGAUGGGAGGGAGAAGCCUCAUCCAUUUAUGUGUCCAUAUGUAUGUCCCUGAGAUGAAAUUGUUGUACCAGAAAAGGGAGAAUUGAAUAGAAUAGGAGGAUAACAUUCAAGCAUCAAGUGCCUCUACCACAUCCUGGUGCCCAGACAAAAAAUAAUCUGAGGUUGUAACAUCAUUUUACGUCCUGACAUAGUCUGGUAUUUAAAAGGUUUUAUGAACUAAUAGCAUCUGAGAACCUGAGAAAUGCGCCUAAAAUUGAACUAUCUGGUUCAGGAAACACGUAGACAAUGGUCUGAGUGAUUCACUUUUGUGUUAGAACAGAGAGGAGGAAAACUUGUAUAUUUGUUAAAGUGUUUACAUAGACAGAAGAUCUUGAAAGUGCGCCUAUCAUUUUCUUUUUUUUUUUCACUAUUGCCCUACCCUUGUUUAAUCUUCACUGGUUUUCUGUGGUCGUUUUUUCAGUAAAGAAAGUUUAUUUUUUGCUAAAUGUUUCAGCUAGAUUUUCAGACUUUUGAGUAAGAAAUUCUUUGUAUCCUGGGAAUUCUACAGUCUCUUAUUCAUAAUAGUUUUAUACACAAUUGAUACUUCAUGGAUAACUCAGAAUUAAUUUUUAUUUGAUGCUGUAAUAUAUUAUAUCUCUUUUCCAGAAAAUUCAUCUGUGUUCAGUCUACAUCAAGAUAUUAAUAAAAUGAGAAGGUCAAAUGUUAUUCAGCAUCCAAGAUAAAACCAGUCUGUGGUUCCACACUCUAUAUAUAUUACAGAUGUGACUAAUUCAGAAGUAGAUUGCUCUUGCAUAGACAUACAUUAUGUUCCACUUUAAUAAAAAUAGAUCUAUUUCUCUUUCGUUUGUUCCUUCUUCCUUUUACUUUGCUUUUGAAAAAUAUUCAUGGAGUCUCAGCUAUUGUGUAGGAAUCGUGAUAAAAGUCAUAAAUAAAGCAGUAAACAAGAAAACAGACAUUUCCCUUGCUCUCAUGGACCUUAACAUCUAGAGAGAUGGCCAGUUAUUAAAGAAAUCCUUGUACUAUACCAAUUGUCAGCAUCAUACAGAAAAGCACAAGGAGGUGAGUAAAGCUUCCCUGAGGAAACGCUAGAGCUAGGACCUGGUACAAGAAGAAUAAAGCCAGCCAUUACCGAGGAGAUUUGCGGUGGGUCCAUUCCAAGCUGAAGUUUGUAUAGUGGUCAGGAUCAUGGACAAGCAUGGACUGUUCAGUCCUCCCCUGAACCAAAAUCUGGAGAUGCCACAAAGCUAAAAAGGAAUUUAAAGAAUCCCAGAAUCUAAAUCAAAGACUGUGAAAAGUCCUUGGAGAAUCAGAAGGUAGGUCAGGUCCCACAGAACCUGGAGGAAAGCUUUCUAGUUCUGUACUUUUCUCUCCGCACAUUUUACUGGCCAGUUCAGUGCCCAUGCCACCAUACAGGGUUCAAGGAGUGGACAGAAACCAUCAGCUCCAGUCCAGCGCCUGCCACAGGUGACAGUUCAUCUGGGCAUCACUGGCCCAGGGGUACAUAGGAAGUAUAGAAUAACCACCUAGUUCAGAUGGACUAAGGUGGCUUCCCAUCCCUGCGCCCCUACUGGGUAACUACAAGGAGGAGAGGCUGUCCCUGGAAAAGAGCAGUGAAGUGGGGCAGGUUACAAAAUGCAAUACCAGAGGCUCUUCUCCCUCCGUGGCCACUCCCCCAACAUACACUUCAUUUCCACCAAGAGGAAUGUCAGCUAGGAUUUGAGCUGUCAUCUCUCCCUUCAGGCACACAUCACCAGCAAGGAAGAUGGUGGUUCCAUGAAUAUGAACACACAGAAAAAAAUAAACAGACAUCUGAGGAGUACAUGUGGAAGCCUCUACAGAAGAAAGACUCAACCUAUCCAUGAGAAAGCAAAAUCAAUGGACCAGAUUAAAAUUUGCAAAAUAUCCUUCUCAAAUAAAAAAAGAACAUUGCCAAUAUCAAGCAGUUGAUAAGAUCUCAUUAGAGAUAUCAAGCAUAAAAAACAUAAUAUAGAAAUAAUUUAAUUUCUUAGGGAGAUUGAGAAAAACAGUAUCAAAAAUUAUUUUGAAAAAGUUCAUAUGACUCUAUUGAUUAAAAUUGAGAUUUUAGGAAACAGAUUUUUCCUAUUUGGUCAUUGAAUAUAUAUUAAACAGUUCCUCAAACCUUUGUUUAUGACUCAUUCUUUAGCAGAAAGAAAACAGUAGGGCAAUUCUUUGCAAAAAAAUCAUUUUUCAUAAAUAACACCUAUAGUAUAUAAAGACAUACUUUCUGUAUAUACUUUGACACAGAAGUAUGUAGAGGAAAAUUAAAAGUAUCUUUUCAACAUCUCUCUCAACACAGUUUGCUUUUCUUUUUCUUUAACAUAAGUAGGAUAACACUAUGUUAUUCUGUAACUUGCUUUUUUCAUAUAAAAUAUAUAUUUUGAAUAUAUAAUAUAUAUAUUCUCAUGUCAGAACUUAUACCUCAUUUCUUUUUUUUAAAAAUGAUUUUUCUUGACUUUCUACUUUAUUUUAAAAAUGUACAUGAUUAUAUGUUCAUUAUAAAAAAAUCAAACAACACACGUGUAUAUAAAGUCAAAAUUUCCUUUCAUCUAUCUAUUCCUUUAUCCUUUUAUCCAUUUACACAUACACCAUGGAAAAUAUGUGUGUGUGUGUGUGUGUAUUUUCAGUGCUGUGAAUUUAAGGACUGGAAAGACAGAAAAAGAGACUUCCACUCAGAUAGGUAAUGAGAGAAGAAUACAUUGGUUUCCAUUCCACACUGGUAUAUAAAUUUGAACUUUCGUGUUGUAAUUUGAAUAUAAAUGGAAUCAGACUAUGUAUAUGACCCCACAAUUUAUUUUUUCACUAGAUAAUUUUUCUUGGCAACCAUCUCAGGUUAGCAUAUGGAACUAACAUAGUAUUCAUGAAUGAGAAUUCUCAGUUUUACCAUUCCAGCCCAGAUAGCAUCUAAGUCUUUUACCAGAACUAUUUGGAAUUCUAUUAGAUUUAAACUUAUUCUAAAGAUAAAACCACAUGUUUUCUAUAAAGAUUUUUCUGAAUAAACAGUGGUAAUACACAAACAUCCGUCUGGAACAAACAGUAGCAAACUAGAUACAGUAUUUGAGUCUCCCGUUCAUCAGAGUUUAUGGAGUUGAGUGACACUGCGGAUGCAUUCCAUCCCCUGGGCAACUCUUGGCCUUUCCAAAUAUUGCACUUUAAAAACUGGAAUGAAUUAUGAUGAAAUAUCAAGUAAUUAUUAGUCUAAUAAUUUUCUAUAAAAAAUUGGAAGAACGUAUUUAGGAGACUUUCACAAACGCAAAGGAGACACAUAUUUAUGGUAACUAUUUAAUUUUAAUAACAGUGCAAUUCAGAAGUAGUCUUCAGGGGCUGGCACCAUGGCCAAGUUGUUAAGUCUGUGCUCUCUGCUUCGGCAGCCCGGGGUUUCACAGGUUCGGAUCCUGGGCAAGGGACCUAGCACUGCUCAUCAAGCCAUGCUGAGGUGGUGUCCCACAUAGCAGAACUUAAAGGACCUACAACUAGAAUAUACAACUAUGUACUGGGGGGCUUUGGGGAGAAGAAAAAAAAAAGAGGAAGAUCAGUAAUAGAUGUUAGCUCAGGGCCAAUCUUUAAAGAAAAAAAAGAAGUAGUCUUCUUCUUUCUUCCCAUUGUUUUCAUUAAAAUAGCCCAGCUUUUCUUUUGCGGGUUAUGUCUCUGAUUUAGUUUAACUAUAUUAAUAGAACUUACUGGUUUAUAGUAAAAAAAAAAAGAUGCUAUUUUUUCAUAGUUUUUACUACUAUACUCAUGAAAUUUUGUAGAAGCAUUGGAAAAGUCUAGAGACACAAAGUUAUUUCAGUUUGGUUCUUCAAACAUAGGUUUAUAUUCUUUUUAAUCCUGGACAUUAAAUAAGCUCACAUUUUUUGUUAGACUUGUUGACUCUCACCUUAUUUUUAAAAAUCAAAAAUUUUACAGAGAAUCUUUUUCAAUUACAAUUUUUUUCUUCAAUUACUUUACAUUUGAAAAUAUGAGAACAAAGAGAAAAAAGCCGAAAGAAGAUAAAAAGACGAGCAAUAAGGAGUUCCGUAUACAGUUCAGAGUGAAUAGUCUCCGGUAAAAACCAAGAAAUACUGCUACCAACUGACAACUGGUUAAACAAACAGUAGUUAAUUCAUCAAAGCUUCAGGUUGCCCAUAUUCAAAACAAAAUAAUUAUUCCCCUCUCUUUGUUCCAAUUGAUUAUUUUUGUAUUGUCUCUUCUGCUAAAUAGGUAUCCUUAUGGAGAGAGUGAAUAUCUUAGUUCCCUUUGUCUCCCCACAAUAGGACACAAAGGGCACCUCUUUGCUGCUCAAUGCAUUACUUCUUGAAUUAAUGAAGUACGACAUUCAUGGUUUUUUCUUGGCAUCAUCUCCAGGUUGGGGCAAGAAAACAAACACAAUUUUAGUUUGCAACACUUCUCCCUGCGGUAGUAACAGGAUUUGUGGUUCCACUAAUCUUUUGUGCAUAUCACGUCCCUGUUGACAUAAAUUCAUUCUCAUCCUGACUUCGGGGGUACCAAUGUCUCUGUUUUAGCAUCAGAAAAAAAAUACUGACAAUCUAACUCUAACUUGCCUUCUUUAUGUCAAGCUUGCCUUUGGAAUAUCGUGUAAUUAUAGUAAUAACCUACAAAAAUUUCAUUUUAUGUUUUUAUGAAGCUUUAUGUUAUAAAGCAUUUUCACAUGUAUUAUUUUAUUUUGUCUCAACUGCAUUAUAGCAUCACUGCUGUUAAGCAAAAAUAUGAAAAACUUUAAAGUAAGGUAGAAGCUUCAUUACAUGUGCUUUCAGUGUCACACUAGAGCAUUGGGCUCACUCAAGAAUUUUUGAAGUCUCUAGAGCAAUGAACCUCUUUUGGACAUACUCUUUGUUACUGAUCAGAAUCCAAACUCAUUAAACUUACAUGUUACCUUGUAGAUUUUGUCUGGUAGAGAUGCAAAUAAUUUCUGUCUGGUUGAAAUUAUAACCAAAGCAUAUGGUUUUAUUGUCCUUUGUGAUGUUCUCCACGUUUGUAUCUAGUCUAGAAAUUGAACAUUUUUUGUUCAUUGCAUGUUAAUGCUCAGUUCCUCAAAUGUCCUUUGAAUCAGGUUACCACCCUGUUUCCCUAACUGACAAGUUAAAUAAAUCUUUCAUGUGUACUUAUUCUUUGUUUGUACAAUACCUGUGAUUGUUAAUGUUCUUGAAAAAUUUUUCUUUGAUAUUACCAUGCUCAGUCUCAAUUAGCUUCCUUGAGUUGAUCAUGAAGAAAGAAACACAGAGGAGCUAUUAUACACAAAAAUGAAAUAAGGGCACAUACUGAUCACUUGAAUCAGUGUGCCCUAAUUAUUAAUUCUUAGAAGAUAACUAUUCAUGGGUCAUAAAGUUGUGUAAAAACUAAAAAUGAAACUAUCCAGCCUAUGCCUUUGGGAAAACCCAUAAACAGUACCAGACUCUUCUAAAAGGAAAGCUGGGGGGAAGGAGGAGGGAGAGAAGAAUAAUGCCAACCAUACAGAGCCAUCAUUUCAUUUUUCCUCUACAAGUUUAAAAUGAAACACAUAUGAUGUAUGGGCACUUCAAGAUAAAGACAAAGAAAUAACUACCCAUUUGUGAAACAGAGAC
rnacentral:lncRNA from 1 species